AAUAAACGAAUUUCUGAGUUUUUGGAUAGAAUUUUUGACUCAAUAUCUUAUUUGAAAUUUUUUUAAGAUUAAUAUUUUUAUCGUCAUUACAUGAUAAAACAUGAAUAUUACUUUACGCGUGACUAAUUUUUUAAUUUUUUAAUAAUUUUUUUAAAUAAGACGGAUAGUCAAAUGCCUAACCCGAGAAACUUAGA
rnacentral:pre_miRNA from 1 species